GAUAAACGCUGGCGGCGCACAUAAGACAUGCAAGUCGAACGGAAGUCGUUAUAAAAUGGAAUGAAGAUUUAUCUGAGUGAAGUUUUGUAACAAUGGCUUUAGUGGCGGACUGGUGAGUAACACGUAAGCAACCUGCCUAUUAGAGGGGAAUAACAAUGAGAAAUCAUUGCUAAUACCGCAUAAGCUUGUAAUAUCGCAUGAUAUAGCAAGAAAAGGAGUAAUCCGCUAAUAGAUGGGCUUGCGGCUGAUUAGCUAGUUGGUAAGGUAACGGCUUACCAAGGCAACGAUCAGUAGCCGGGCUGAGAGGCUCUGCGGCCACAUUGGGACUGAGAUACGGCCCAG
rnacentral:rRNA from 1 species